GGCCUGAUGGUCUAGUAGUAUGAUUCCUUGUUAGGGCUAUUGCGAGCUUUCGGCUUGCACUGCCACUCGAGGAGGUCCCGGGUUCAAUUCCCGGUUAGGCCC